UUUCCCAUAUACUCCACUUUUUAUUUUGUUCUUCUCCCUCGCCUUUCUUUUUUCUGAGUCAUGAUUUUGGUGCAUUUGCCGGAAGUUUUUUGUAUGUCCUUUCAUUGUAAUGGGUCUUUGUUUUAAACCCUCCAAAACUACAUUAAAAGCUUUGUCUUUGGCAGUGAAAGAUCAGAAGAUCCAUUGAUUUGUCAAGUGUAAGUGAUGACAUCUUACAUAAAUUAAAGGAGAGAUAUUUUCGCCAAAGCUAAAUAUCUAAAGAAAUCGAGAAGUUGGUACUUGGGGUUAUAUUGUCAUCUACUUGAUUUUUCCGUGAUUUUCCUGCUUCUUUUUUUGAAUGUCGUGUGUUUGAUUUUGUAUGAGUGUAUUAACUUUUAAUUUGUGAUUGCAUGGCUUAAAAAAACUAGGGCUUGAUGCCUUUAGAUCAACUAUGCUGAAGUAAUUUAUUUUUAUUCUCUUUCCAUUUGGAGAGAUGUUGGAUUCUAUUAAGCUUUCGGCUUUUCUUGAAAUUGGGAGUCAACUAUCAACUGGCUCUUAUUAUUAUUUUCUACAGUACUUAAACUUAAAAUUUGAUUUCUAUAUGUUUGUUCUCUUCUGGGGGGUACUGUUUAUAUUGUUCUUAAAUGAAAAUGCAAUAUGAAUUUUUUUUUUAUUUUCUCAAUUUGAUUUUUGCCUUUUGUUCUUUGUAGGCUCAUGUCAAUUCUGGGUUUGGAGGUCUCUAUUUUUAUAUGUGAAUAAAUUACCUAGAUCGAUAUAUAUUUUUCUAUGAAUUUGCUACAAUUCCAAAUCCAAUUACAAUUUAUACUUUUUUUGGUUUUGCAGGGAAGUAAAGCUGAUCAAUUUCAGAUGUUAGCUACGGCAUGUUUGUCGCUUGCAUCCAAGAUGGAAGAUAUGGAUGCUCCUUUGACUGUUGAUUUGCAUGUUACUUAAAUUUAUCAACAGGUGAUAUGAAUUCUCUAUUUGUAAUGUCGAAUCUAUAUGAUAAAGAUGCUUGUGUUCUUAGCUUUAAAUGGGUGUAUUUUAUGGUUAUAAUGACAUCAGUACCUUGUACCUUGCUCUUCUGUUAAUUUCUUUUGUGGUUAGUUUCUUGCUACCCAAAAUAAAUGGUAAUUUUGAGUACUACAUGAAUUUGCCCAUCUUCAGAGUAGGCAAAGUAAAUCUCUUUCUCUUUCUCUCUCGCCUUGAGGCGUUCCCCAUCAAGCAACGGUGGAGGUAGAAAAGGCAUAUUUUUGACGCUCUAGAGCUUUAUGUUCUGUUGACAAUGAAUUGACAGUAGCAGAAGUAUGGCAAAAUUGGAUUUUUUUCUCAAUGAAUUUUGUGUUGCUAUUUUAUGGUUGUUCGAUGUAAGGCUAAUAAUGACUGCAAUUUUCAGAAGAUGUCAUUCAUUUUGUGCUCCAGCAUUCUUGCCUUGUCCGAUUAGUAAUGAGUAAGUUUUUCUUCUAUUGCUUUACUGUAUUUGGCUAUUGCACCUAAGAGCCUUUUGUGGCUAUACAUAGAUGAAAAGAAAUAGCUUCUUAUUUUAUAGCAUGUCAAGCAGGUGAGAAUGAAAUUGAAAAAAGGUAACAGCUUCCUUAAAAGCUAAAUCUGUUUAGUGUUGGUGAAGCAUGUUAAAGGAUGGUGAAUUAACAAAUUUAAUCUUGCAGAUAAAAGUGAGGACAUAUUUGAAAUCAAGGUUGUGGGAGAAAAAGCAGAGAGUACUUCCCUAGACAUACAGCUGAAUACAUAAGAGUUUAUUAGGUUCUGAAUGACUCUUAAUGUUCCAUGAAUGAUUGUUUAUAACACCCAAUCGACAUAGUGAUUUUCAUUUGGAAGGUAUGUAACUUAUUAUUGAGCUUGCAGUAUAUUAACCUAUGUAUCAUUGCAUUUAUCUUCUCAAGAAACCAGAAAAAUGAAAUGGAUACAGAUUGUGCUUAUGAUAGGGAUUCUACGACCAUUUUUAUUGUCCUUGUGCUUAUUUUAAUAUUGGUGGGUGCUUUAUUGUAGAUGCAAAUAUGAUUUUAGGGGAAAAAUAUUAGAAGAUGCUGGCUAUGUAGUUGGAACAUGAAUUUUGAAAUUCCUCUACCAAAGGAAAAAAUGUAUGAAAUUGCUUUUGCAAUUUACUCCCUGUUAUUUUAAUUUUAACUAUAACUGGAAAAUAUAUAUCUUAACUAGAGAGUUGGGAAGUAGGAAAAAUUUUAGAAAGGAAAAAAAGAAAGAGCAAGAGUUUGGUAAAAUAUAUUUGUUGUAUUUGUAGUUGUGUAUAAGAAACAUGUUGAAUUUUACUCUGUUUGCUUGCAUGUGUUUUCUAUUGCACUACUGCUACUUUGUCUAAUUUUGUGUUAACAAGAAAAAUUAGGUAUGGCUUUUAAUUAUUCAAAGUUAUAUCUCCAUUUGUUUGCAUGUAUAUUUGAAAGUGCUGGCUGACUAAGGUUAGAAAGCCUAGAAAGUGGAAUGAAAAUGGUACAAAAAAUCUUAGGAUUACUGCCAUUAGACUCCCUUAUGAAUUGUGGGUUGACAUAAUCUCGAAGGAAUAUAAGAAAUGUUAUCAGAAGGCUAGCAUACAUAAAUUAUGAGAUAUCAGGCUUAGCAUACAUAAAAUAUGAGAUAUCUGGCUUAGUUUUAGGAUUGAGUCCUAUUGUGGGAGGCUUGAAAAAUACUGGGACUUCUAUUACAGCAGCUCUGUCGACAUUAGUUGGCACAAUAGUUAGAUCGUCAACCUCAACAGAUUGGGAAGUGGGUAAGGAUUUUGGAACUAAAUGUUUGUUGAUAAGCAAUUUUACCAUACUUAAUGUUGAUCAUGUUGUAAGAACAUUGAGAAAAGGUAACCAAUUGAGGCUAAAUCAAGAAACUAUGGUCCUCUGACUCUUAAAACACAUAAGCUCGGCAUGGAUAAAAGUGGUUUGGAUCAUAGCUAGAGCCUGUCGUGUUUGGUGAAUCUUGUGCAUGGUAUAUAUAUUUGGUACAGUAGGAAUAUGAACAAGAACAGGGAGAAUAUCAUUAAAAAAAUCAUACGAGGCAUCAAGGUGUAAUUAAGUAAUAUUUGUCACUGAGCUUUAAGUUACUCAGGAAGAAGUCCAUUGUUGUGCUCGACUAAUGAUUGACAUACACAAAUGAUGAUUUUACAUUAUUAGUCUGGAAAAGACAUUGAUAGUGCUAUUUUCCAGCUACAUUGUAGCAUUACAAAGCUCAUGAAGUUAUUGAACAUAUAUGUAAUGAAUAUGCAGCUAAAUUCACUCUUUUCCAUGGCCACAAGGAAGCAUUGGCCAUAUUGGUGCCCUUAAAUACCUUGUUACGCUGUUGUAGCCAUCCCGUUCUAUUAUGGUUUGUUUUGCAUGUGUUGUUCAUACAGAUAAAGGUGAGUUUACGCUGAAAAGGAAUUAAUGAUAGCCAUUUUUGGUACUUCUUUGUUAUUCUUGCCCGUGAGUGAGAAUUAAGUAUUUUGUAUUUCCGUCUGUGGUAGCCAUAGGAAAGCAAUAGCAAUUUCGUCUUAUGAGUUUGAUUCAAUUGAGUUUGGGGAGGGUAGAUUAUAUGCAAACUUUACCCCUACCUUGUGGAAGUAGAGAGGUUAUUUCCGAUAGACCCUCGGCUUAAGAAAAGCGAUUUUCAAAACAGGUCUGAAAAAAAAAAAGCAACACGAUAGUAAUAGUGUAGUCUUAGUUGACAUGUCUCAUAUUUUAUAUUGAUGUAAUAGUUGUUCUAAGAUCUUCUCAACGCUGCAGGGAAGGAGAAAAGACGCAGGACUUCUUGGUAUUUAUCUUUCUUGGCAUUACAUGGAUAGUGGCGUAGUAUGAAAAGAAAAAUGACACCACUACUUCAAUUUGUCUAAUGUGUAUGUACCUGUUAAUUUUUCAAGUUCUAUUUUGUUUUUGUUAGAGACUCAAGUUUGUCAUGAUAAUGGUUAUAAAUUAGAUAUUUGUGCUAUUUAACUAGGUGAUGCUUGACUAUAAAAUUUAUGCAUAAUUCCUGC
rnacentral:lncRNA from 1 species